rnacentral:rRNA from 1 species
AACGAACGCUGGCGGCGUGCCUAACACAUGCAAGUCGUGCGAGAAAGUUCCUUCGGGAGCGAGUAAAGCGGCGCACGGGUGAGUAACACGUAGGUAACCUGCCCCCCAGUCUGGAACAACUAGAGGAAACUCUAGCUAAUGCCGGAUGAGACCACGAUCCCCUUCGGGGGUUGCGGCCAAAGAUGGCCUCUACUUGUAAGCUAUCGCUGAGGGAUGGGCCUGCGGGCCAUUAGCUUGUUGGUGAGGUAACGGCUCACCAAGGCUGUGAUGGCUAGCUGGUCUGAGAGGAUGACC